rnacentral:rRNA from 1 species
UCAGGCCUAACACAUGCAAGUCGAACGAUGAAGCUGGAGCUUGCUCCGGUGGAUUAGUGGCGAACGGGUGAGUAACACGUGAGCAAUCUGCCCUUGACUCUGGGAUAACUGCGGGAAACUGUAGCUAAUACCGGAUACGAGGCUCGAAGGCAUCUUCGGGUCUGGAAAGAAUUUCGGUCAAGGAUGAGCUCGCGGCCUAUCAGCUUGUUGGUGAGGUAAUGGCUCACCAAGGCGACGACGGGUAGCCGGCCUGAGAGGGUGACCGGCCACACUGGGACUGAGACACGGCCCAGACUCCUACGGGAGGCAGCAGUGGGGAAUAUUGCACAAAAGGGGAAAGCCUGAUGCAGCAACGCCGCGUGAGGUAUUUAGGACGUUCGGGUUGUAAACCUCUUUAGCAGGGAAGAAGCGAAA